rnacentral:lncRNA from 1 species
UCGACUAUCCUGAACGAUAGGCAAAUACACAUAUUGCUGAGUAGGACUCACAUAAUCUUUUCUAUUAUAAGUAAUAAAUACCGGAUAAAAUAUAAGCAAUACAUAGAGUUUAAGUUCAACGGACGCGAGCAUCGUUAAUAUGUUUUUUUGUUAUUUAUGUUAUUAACCGUUUUAUUUACUUUACCGUUAUUGCAGAGUUAAAUGCUUUUCGUAGCCGGUUUUUCUGACAUGGCCUUUAAAGAACGUUUUGCCAAUCUGAUAAUCGAACACUAAAAGGUCCUUACAACAACUUUUGCCAUAUUGUAUGUUCAUAUCAGACGUGAUGAACCUGAUCAGUGUUUGUCGAAUGUCAUUUUUUUUUCUUUCGAGUUCUUCAUCCAAGAAUUAGAUUUUAAUGGGAGAUCUGAUUGCGAA